AACGAACGCUGGCGGCAGGCUUAACACAUGCAAGUCGAGCGCCCCGCAAGGGGAGCGGCAGACGGGUGAGUAACGCGUGGGAAUCUACCGUGCCCUACGGAAUAGCUCCGGGAAACUGGAAUUAAUACCGUAUACGCCCUACGGGGGAAAGAUUUAUCGGGGUAUGAUGAGCCCGCGUUGGAUUAGCUAGUUGGUGGGGUAAAGGCCUACCAAGGCGACGAUCCAUAGCUGGUCUGAGAGGAUGAUCAGCCACAUUGGGACUGAGACACGGCCCAAACUCCUACGGGAGGCAGCAGUGGGGAAUAUUGGACAAUGGGCGCAAGCCUGAUCCAGCCAUGCCGCGUGAGUGAUGAAGGUCUUAGGAUUGUAAAGCUCUUUCACCGGUGAAGAUAAUGACGUAACCGGAGA
rnacentral:rRNA from 1 species